rnacentral:tRNA from 1 species
GGGGAUGUAGUAUAGUGGUCAGUACUUCUCGUUGUGGCCGAGAGGACCUAGGUCUCGAUUCCUGGCAAUCCCG